CUGAUGGGUAAGAGGCCUGGGCAAGAAGAUCUCACAGUGCGUCAAGAUGAAAUAAAUGUUGGGAAAUAACUAGCCAGUUUAUGCUACAAGAUACAUGUCUUUAUAAUUGCAUGUAUGAUUUGUGAUUUCCUUUUACAUCAAGAAGAAGUCAGAAAGGAUUAUGUAUGAAAUUGAAUGGGAGAAAAUUGUGAUGUGCCAAGUAGAACAGAUUAGACAAUGUGAAAAUACUUUCAUUUCAACUGCAUGAAGAUUACAUAGAAGAAAAUACAGAUGAAGUUCUUUAUUGUUUCUCAUUCAUAGAAUUUAUUUCCACUAAGUUUUUUAAAAAAUGGGCAAAAGAAAGUGGAACUUCAACUGUUCCUUAGGACAAUAUGGACUGGUGUUUUUGAAGAAGCAAAGUGGAAAUGAUUAGACAGCAGGGACUCUUUGCAGAAAAACAUGAGAAGCAAAGAAAAAUUUCUCAGAAAAGGAGAUUUGAAGCACAAUUGUCAUCAGUUCAUAGAAGAAUUUUGAAGUUCUGUUUCCAGACGCCUAUAUCCUUUCCUUCUAGUUCUCUGCCUGCCCAGAGACUACAUCUUUAGAGAUGAGCAAAACUCUGCACUCUGCAAAAUCAGCACCCUCUGUCUAAUCAAAAGUUAACUUGGCCCAGGUUUUAGUUUCUCUGCUAAGUAUUGUUGGCAAGUAAUAUAAUAAAUCUUAUUACAGGAUACAGCUGAUUAUGUAUACAUUAUGUCUUUGGAUAAAUUUGCAUUUUAAGAGGAAGGCCAAGGAUGCCUUAAUUACAAACAUUGCAUUUUUGGUUAUUUAAAUAGUAUCUGGGAAAAUGGUGAAGAUAUAUAGGAAGUGAAGAAAGAUACCUGUAUCUUCCACGUGUGAAAGAUUAUCUCAGUAAAUAGAAUUGGCUACAUAUUCAUCUAUUAUAAUAAUACCAAAAAAGAAGAUACAUAUCUUCAAAGCUUAAGAAAAUUCAGAAUUUUUGUAGUCAGCAAAAUGAAUGGCAAAGAUAAUGAGAGAAUAAAGAUACAAAAAUGAGUAUUGAAAAAUAGAAUUCUGAUGGGAAAACUGUUAAUUUUUAAAAUUAUAUGUAAAGGUGAGGUUGCUGUUAAGCAUUUUACACCAAUAGAGAUAUCAAUUGGAAUAUUUUAUGUGAAGAAAAGAAUUAAUGGCUUAACUUUGUCAAUAAAGAAAGCAUCUACUUGU